rnacentral:rRNA from 1 species
UUAAACUGAAGAGUUUGAUCCUGGCUCAGAUUGAACGCUGGCGGCAUGCCUUACACAUGCAAGUCGAACGGCAGCACGGGUGCUUGCACCUGGUG